CCUACGGGUGGCAGCAGUGGGGAAUAUUGCACAAUGGGCGCAAGCCCGAUGCAGCCAUGCCGCGUGUGUGAAGAAGGCCUUCGGGUUGUAAAGCACUUUCAGCGGGGAGGAAGGCGUUAAGGUUAAUAACCUUGCCGAUUGACGUUACCCGCAGAAGAAGCACCGGCUAACUCCGUGCCAGCAGCCGCGGUAAUACGGAGGGUGCAAGCGUUAAUCGGAAUUACUGGGCGUAAAGCGCACGCAGGCGGUCUGUCAAGUCGGAUGUGAAAUCCCCGGGCUCAACCUGGGAACUGCAUUCGAAACUGGCAGGCUAGAGUCUUGUAGAGGGGGUAGAAUCCCAGGUGUAGCGGUGAAAUGCGUAGAGAUCUGGAGGAAUACCGGUGGCGAAGGCGGCCCCCUGGACAAAGACUGACGCUCAGGUGCGAAAGCGUGGGGAGCAAACAGGAUUAGAUACCCGAGUAGUC
rnacentral:rRNA from 1 species